rnacentral:piRNA from 1 species
UGCCAUGAUGGUUUGAGCCAGCACAAGCCUG